AGGUGACAAAAAGAUUUCAAGAACGGGCCUCCAGUUAUAAAAAAGAAUUUUUCCAAGGUGACAAAAAGAUUUCAAGAACGGGCCUCCAGUUAUAAAAAAGAAUUUUUCCAAGGUGACAAAGAUUUCAAGAACGGGCCUCCAGUUAUGAAAAAGAGUUUUUCCAAGUUCUGCGGCUCCUGAUCCUCAGCGCUCCGGCGAUCUCCUCUCCAGCUCCUCUCCAGCAACUCGUCGUGCUUUGGCAAGUUAUUCUUGACAAGUGUGCUUCUCCUUCAAGUUCAUUUUUGAAACCAGCGGCUUGAUCUGUAAUGUUUUCGACUCAAUGAU